GGAGAAAUGUGGACACAGGUGAUCAUAAACAAACCCUGUCUUUUCCCAAAACAAUGACUUCAGAUAGUCAUGUGUAUCUUGAUAUAAUUAGGUCUGGUCAAAAGAUUAAGGGAUAUGCAAGGUGUUUGACUAAACACAAAAGUCAUUGUCUAUUCAAGAUCUCCUCAAGGUUUUGUCUGAAACCUUAGUUAAAAUUCAUCGCUAGUAAAUGAAUAAGAAAAAAAACUAAGUGCCUCGAUUUUUGUAUGGAGUACUAGUGCCAUCUAGUGUUAGGGUAACAUAAAGAUCUAGGGUGUAUUUUCCCUAGAGGGAGGUUCUAUUAAUUAUAAAGUGAGGUCACAAGUUAAUGAUAAAACUUGGCCAA